UCCCCGUUACCGAGGCAGUCUCGUUAGAAAAAUCCAACUAACGACAAGGGUUGCGCUCGUUUAAGGACUUAACCUGACAUCUCACGACACGAGCUGACGACGGCCAUGCAUCACCUGUCACUGAUCCAGCCAAACUGACGUUUUAGUUUCCUAAAACUACGAUCAGGAUGUCAAAUCUGGGUAAGGUUCUUCGCGUAGCCUCGAAUUAAACCACACGCUCCACCGCUUGUGCGGGUCCCCGUCAAUUCCUUUGAGUUUUAGCCUUGCGGCCGUACUCCCCAGGCGGGAUGCUUAACGCGUUAGCUUCGCUACUGAACGGGUCGAUACGUCCAACAGCUAGCAUCCAUCGUUUACGGCGUGGACUAC
rnacentral:misc_RNA from 1 species